rnacentral:rRNA from 1 species
UACGUCGGGUGCGAGCGUUGUCCGGAAUUAUUGGGCGUACAGGGCUCGUAGGCGGUUUGUCGCGUCGGGAGUGAAAACCUUGGGCUUAACUCAGGGCUUGCUUUCGAUACGGGCAGACUAGAGGUAUGCAGGGGAGAACGGAAUUCCUGGUGUAGCGGUGAAAUGCGCAGAUAUCAGGAGGAACACCAAUGGCGAAGGCAGCUCGCUGGGACGGUACUGACGCUGAGACGCGAAGGCGUGGGGAGCAAACAGG